ensembl:snRNA U6 U6 spliceosomal RNA
GUGCUUCGGCAGCACAUGUGUUUAAACGGGCACGGCACAGAGAAGACUAGCAGGAUCCCUGUGCAAAGAUGGCACACACGUCCUGUGAAGGCUCCUGCAGCUUC